CAGGACACUUCUCAACAAGUACUAAGGAAGCACAAUCAGAAAGUAACUCUUUACUUUGUUGUGCCCAUUCAGUGCAUUUAGCCAUCAACCUCUCCUUCUGAACAUCACAUUUGUUCACUACUGAUUUCAAAUCAUCUCUUUGUUUCACAAGAUCAUCAAUUUGUAAAGAGAGUUUGUGUAUCUGAGCAUUUGUAGUUGAAGAUUCACUGUCAAUUUGGGUUAGUGUACUCUUUGCACUCCUAAGCUUGUUCAUAAUAUCAGUUUUCGAAUAAAGAAGUUGGUUGUGCUUCCUUAGUACUUGUUGAUAACUGUCUU
rnacentral:pre_miRNA from 1 species